ensembl:lncRNA
GAAGGAAGGAAGGAAGGAAGGAAGGAAGGAAGGAGGGAGGGAGGGAGGGAGGGAGGGAGGAAGGAAGGAAGGAAGGAAGGAAGGAAGGAAGGAAGGAAGGAAGGAAGGAAGGAAGGAAGGAAUAGAGGAUUGAUGGACGCAUGGAAGUAUGGAAGGGUCAAUGAACAUAGUGAUGGAUGGACAGACAGGUCGCUAUAGACAGGUAGCUGAAGAAUGACAGACAGGUAGCUAUAGACUGACAGACAGGUGGCUAUAGACUGAUACACAGGUAGCUCUAGACAGACAGACAGACAGACAGACAGACAGACAGGUAGCUCUAAACAGACAGACAGGUAGCUCUAGACAGACAGACAGGUAGCUCUAGACAGACAGACAGGUGGCUAUAGACUGAUACACAGGUAGCUGUAGACUGCCAGACAGGUCACUAAAGAUUGACAGACAGGUAGCUCUAGACCGACAGACAGGCAGCUCUAGACAGACAGUCAGACAGACAGGUAGCUCUAGACAGACAGACAGGUAGCUCUAGACAGACAGACAGGUAGCUGUAGACAGACAGACAGGCAGCUGUAGACAGACAGACAGGUAGCUCUAGACAGACAGACAGGUAGCUGUAGACAGACAGACAGGCAGCUCUAGACAGACUGACAGGCAGCUGUAGACAGACAGACAGGUAGCUCUAGACAGAUAGACAGUUAGCUCUAGACGGACAGACAGACAGGCAGCUGUUGACAGACAGACAGGCAGCUGUAGAGGUGGGGCUAGGAGAGCAGAGGCAGUGAGUGGGUGCUGGCGGCGUUGUACCCGCAGCAGGAGGGGGAGGGAGGGGGGCUGGGAGAGGAGGGGGGAGGAGGGGGAUGGGUGGAGGUGGGCCCCUGGGGCUCCCCCGUGGCCCCUGGUCCACAGCCCAUUGGGGCCCCGGGGCCCUGAGUUCGGCCCAGGGGCCUGCGCAGCGGGGUUGGGGAGCAGGAGGCCUGGCGGGGGAAGGGGGGCCCGCUAGGAGAGGAGAAGCCCCCAGACACAGAGUGGCGCCCGGGAGACACUUGGGGUCCGGAUGGGUGGGGGCGUCCCGGAGAGGGGUGGAGACCCACUGUGGUCCCGCCCACGCUGCCGGGGUACUCCGGGAGGUGUUGGGCCGAUCCCGGAGACUUGGGGAUUUAGGGGACUUGGG